GACGAACGCUGGCGGCGUGCUUAACACAUGCAAGUCGAACGGAAAGGCCCUGCUUUUGUGGGGUGCUCGAGUGGCGAACGGGUGAGUAACACGUGAGUAACCUGCCCUUGACUUUGGGAUAACUUCAGGAAACUGGGGCUAAUACCGGAUAGGAGCUCCUGCUGCAUGGUGGGGGUUGGAAAGUUUCGGCGGUUGGGGAUGGACUCGCGGCUUAUCAGCUUGUUGGUGGGGUAGUGGCUUACCAAGGCUUUGACGGGUAGCCGGCCUGAGAGGGUGACCGGCCACAUUGGGACUGAGAUACGGCCCAGACGCCUACGGGAGGCAGCAGUGGGGAAUAUUGCACAAUGGGCGGAAGCCUGAUGCAGCAACGCCGCGUGCGGGAUGACGGCCUUCGGGUUGUAAACCGCUUUCGCUUGUGACGAAGCGUGAGUGACGGUAAUGGGUAAAGAAGCACCGGCUAACUACGUG
rnacentral:rRNA from 1 species